UUCCAUUAUCUUUGUGAGGUUGUGGAGGUUGUAUAUGAUGCUUGUUCUGAGAGUGGAGGGGAAAAUGCUGCCCUUAUAUAGAUUGCAUGCAGCAUCUUCAGAGAAUGGUUAAGCUGACCAGUUGUUACAAAUGCAAUAAUAUAGCUUUCCUGUAGCUUAGUGGUAAGAGCAUUGCAUUAACAACGAAAGGUUGUGGGUUCAAUCUCAGGUGAUUGCACAUACCUAUGUAUAAAUGUAUAGGAUAAUGCAAUGUAAUAUACUACUCAAUAUACUGUCUCAUUUACUACUGAUUUGUUUUGAUUUUUGUAUAGGUACAUGAUGUGGGUCAGGGCGGUUUGGACAGAGCCAAAUGGAGAAGAUGAGGGAGUCAUCCCAGAGGUUUGGGUGAAGGACAACAUGGUACACUGGCCACCAGGGGCUAAUGUAACUAAAGCAGCUAAAGAGAUGCGAACACCAACAAGUAGCUGGAAAAUGUUUCCACUGCUGAAAAUCAAAUUCAAGUCAAAUAAUCAGGAAGUGUGUGAAGUCUUCGACCAAACAAGUACUGCAGAGCUCAGUGAGGAAGAAUGUGGUCCUGUAUCAAAGACAAAAAUAUACCCAGGGUUUAUUUUAGGUACAGAAUACUUGCUCAUUUUGACAGGGCCCUAGUUUUUGGUGCUGGAGCAUAAUAUAUGUUGUGAUACUAUGUAUGGUAAUUAUACUGUUGUUUCUCCUCUUACACAGAUGAGGAUGAGCAUGAAAGCAGGACGAAGCGAAUCGUUGGAUUUUUGGAAUAAAAAUAUUCAUAUUUCAAAAGUUACAAACACAAAUCAGCAGCUUCCGGUGACAGCGAGUCUACAUUGACCUCCAUUGUAGAAAAGGAAACUACAAUGCAAGUCAAUGUAGACUCACUGGAAGCUGGUGGACUUCUUCCAGCCAAUUAGAAUAGAGUAUUCAGAGAGACCAUGGCAUAAGUAAGGAAUAAUUGAUGACGAGCCAUUCAAUUAUACUCAUAUAAUGCACACUCGAGGUAAUGCUGCCACGACGCACAUCGAGUGUGCAUUUUAAGUAUAAUUGAACGGACAGGAGCCAAUUAUUUCUCUUAUACCAUGGUUGCCACACCACAAAACAUUGUUCAAGUGUUUAAUUUCAGAUUAUAAUAAAUGUUGCCCUGCGGUAGGAAAAUCUGACAGGGUAGGACAAUUUGAACACCGGUACAGCCUCCGCGAGCGUAAGAUUUUGCUUUGCCGAUGCAGCUCGUUUUUCUCUUGGUCUAUCUCUGUGGCAACCGGCAGAAAACAGCAGCACAUAUUCAACAAAACAGCGUUUCCUGAAUUCUGCCACUGUUACUGACUGCCUGGGCAUAUGAACAACAUAACGUUCACACUAAAGCCUACAUCGCAUGAUAAACAUUAAUUAAAGCUGCAAGCAGCGAUGAAAGGGCCCUCGCACCCGGGCUCACCACCAACCGGUGGCCAUAGGAGAUCAGCGAACGAUGGGCCAUAUGCUUAUAAAAAGGUAAAUAUUUGUGCCACAUUUCCUGCUGCCAACUGGUGGCGCUAUGAUUAUAACUGAAUAUCGGCAUGUAAAUGUCUUCAAGCCAGGACUCUUACCAAACAUGCAAAGUUUCGGGCAGAUCAGACAUUGCAUGUUUAAGUUAGUGUAAAAGAAGUAAUUUCCUGUUGCCAGCAGGUGGCGCUAAGACUAUAAACAAAUAUUGACCUAAAGAUGAGUUCAGGCCAGGACCCAUAUCAAACACAAGAACUUUGGGCAGACCAGAUAUUGCAUGUUUAUGUUAGUUUAAAACAAGUAAUUUCCUGUCAGCAGCAGGUGGCGGUAUGAUUAUAACUGAAAUAUUGGCCUUAAAAUCUGUUGAGACUAGGAAUCUUAUCAAACAUGUGAAGUUUAGGGCAGAUCAGACAUUUCAUGUUUAAGUUAGUUUAAAAUAAGCCAUUUCCUGUUGCCAGCAGGUGGCGCUAUAAUUAUAAUUGAAUAUUUGCCUUUAGAUGUGUUCAGGCCAGGACUCUUAUAAAACGUGUGAAAUUUGGGGCAGACUGGGCAUUGUAUGCAAGAGUUACAACAACUUCCUGUUUCAUAGUAUUAAUAGCAUCAUUUAGCACAUAGUAAGUGUUGCUAGCAUGUUUGAGAAUAUUUCUAGCAUGAUAAGCACACAAUGGCAUAUUUUACGGUUUUGCGAAUAGUGCAUAAAAGUAUUAAAACAUGUCACUUCCUGUUGUCAGUAGGUGGCACUAUAACUAUAACCAAAUAUGAGCAUGUAGAUAUCUUCAGGCCAGGACUCUAAUCAAACUUGUAAAGCUUGAGGCAGAUUGGACAUAGUGUGCACGAGUUACAGUAAUGUUCUACUUCACUGCAUUAAUAGCAUGCUUUAACACUGAGCUAAGUGUUGCUAGCAUGUUUAAGCAUGCUUCUACAAUUUUGCCAGCCUAUUUAACACAUGUUGAUGCUUUUUAUUAUUUUGCAAGGAGUCCAUAACAGUGUUAAACAUGCCACUUCCUGUUGCCAUCAGGUGGCGCUAUGACUAUAAUCAAAUACAGGCAUGUUGAUGUGUUCAGGACAGGACUCUUGUGAAAUGUGUGAAGUUUGGGGCAGAUUGGAUAUUGCUAGCCUGAGUUACAGCAACUUCCUUUUUCACUGCAUUAGUAGCAUGCUUUAGCACUUAGCUAAGUGCUACUAGCAUGUUUUAGUAUGUUUUUAACAUGUUGCCAGCCUAUUUAACACUUGUUGACACUUUUUAAUAUAUUCCUAGGAGUCCAUAACAGUUUUAACCAUGUCACUUCCUGUUGCCAGCAGGUGGCGCUAUGACUAUAACUGAAUUUGGUCAUGAGUGUUUGUUCAGGACAGAACACCUAUCACACAUGUGAAGUUUGGGGCAGAUCGGACAUUGCUUGCCUGAGUUACAGCAACUUCCUGUUUCACGGCGAAACAUCAAAUUUUGUCAGGCCGCCAGGGACACACCCCUUGACGAAAACUCAAAACCUUCGCAAUUUAACAUCACAAAGGUCUUAUGAUGACCCUCAUCAAAUUUGAAGACAAUCCGAUUAAAACUGUAGGAGGAGUUCGUCAAAGUACGAGGCAUGGAAAUGGCAAAAACUGCACAAAAAUCCUACAGGAAAUUCAAAAUAACUUACUUCCUGUUGGGUUUUGGAUUUUGUACCAAGAGACUUUUUUGUAGGUAAUGGUGUGUUACACAUAUGUACCGAUUUUCAUGCAUGUACGUGAAACAUAGCUCGAGGCGCACUCCGUUGAAAUUUAAUAGGUGGCGCUAUCGAGCCAUUUUGCCACACCCACUUCUGAAACCUAUAUCAGAUGUAAAUUUUCGCCAGUACUGAUGCGUGUGCAAAGUUUCGUGAGUUUUGGAGCAUGUUUAGGCCCUCAAAAAUGCGACUCAUUGCGGAGAAGAAGAAGAAGAAGAAGAAUAAUUAAAGCUGCAAGCAGCGAUGAACGGGCCCUCGCACCCGGGCUCACCGCCAGCGGGUGGCUUUUGUAAAACAGCGAACGGCAAGAUAUAUGCGUUUUAUGUGGUAAAUAUAAGAGAAAUAUGUCAAAGUCAUUUAUAUGUGCCAAUCUUCCAGCUGCCAGCUGGUGGCGCUAUGACUAUAACUGGAUUUCGACAUGUACAUUUCUUCAGUCCAGCACUUUUAUCAAGCAUAUGAAAUUUAGUGCAGAUUGAACAUGGAAUGUUUGAGGUUAGUAUAAGGCAUGAGGUGUCCUAUUGACAACAGGUGGCGCUAUGAUUAUAACUGAAUAAUGGCCUUUAGAUAUCUUCAGGCCAUGACUCUUUCCAAAUAUUUGAAGUUUGGUGCAGAUUGGACAUUGCAUGUUUAAGUUAGUGCAAAACAAGACAUUUCCUGUUGCCAGCAGGUGGCGCUAUGAUUAUAGUGGAAUAAUGACCUUCAGAUGUGUUCAGGCCAAGACUCUUUUCGAACAUGUGAAGUUUGGGGAAGAUCGGACAUCUUAUGCCUGAGUUACAACAACUUCUAUUCCCAUGGCGAGACAUCAAACUUUGUCACGGCGCCAUGGCCACACCCUUUAAUGAACCCUCAAGAUGUUCACAAUUUAACAUCGCAAAGGCCUUUAGAUUAGACUGACCAAAAAAAAUUAUAAAAUGUCAUAAAAUAUCUAGGAGUAGUUUGUUACGGCGUAAAACAUGUCACUUCCUGUUGCCAGCAGGUGGCGCUAUAGCGAUAUCUGAAUAUUGGCAUGUAGAUAUAUUCAGGUCAGGAGUCUUCUCAAACAUGUGAAGUUUGGGGCAGAUUGGACAUUGUAUGUCUGAGUUAUAGCAACUUCCUUUCUCAUGGCGAAACAUCGAAAUUUGUAAGGCCGCCACAGACACGCCCUUAAACGAAACCUCAAGAUCUUCG
ensembl:lncRNA